rnacentral:tRNA from 1 species
UAACUCAGUUGGUAGAGUGCUUGCCUUGCAUGCAGAAGGCCCUGGGUUCAAUCCCCAG